rnacentral:lncRNA from 1 species
CUGUUCCAAUACUAUAUAUAGAGGAGAGCUAGUCUUGCUUUCCCAUCAUUUUAUUAUCAGCCAAAGAUUCAGAGCAUUUGGAGAAUAUCAGAUCACAGUUUUUGCAUCGAACAUCGAGAGCAUCCCUGGAAAACACUGUGAGUAUUUCAUUUACCACAAAUAGAAAAAUGUGUGCAUGCUGGUUAAAUAAAUCAUCUAUACCUAUGGAAUGAAAGCUGUAGCACAAACACAACAAUUAAACACCACCUAUUUCAUUUAUAUUUUGUAGAUGACUUCCGUUAAUAAACUCUCUGUUUUUACCAUUUUGAUUUUGUGCACAAUGUGCACCAGUGUAAUGUCACGCGGUUGUCGCUGGCAGUGUAGUGUGGUGUGCUUUCCGUACAGAGUUCAGUGUGGAGUUCGUUGCACCUGGGGCAAACGUAGCGCAAUUGACAAACAACGACAUACAGUUCGGGUUCCAUUUCCAGACAAGUUUAAAAACUAUGAUCUUGACAAAAGUGGUGGAAUUACUUUGGAAGAGCUGGCCAAAGCAAUAAACGUGGAGGAACACUCCAAAGAAACCGUGAAAGAUUCCAACUGGCAGACAAAGAUGGUGAUGGACAGAUUGAUUGCAAUGAACUUAAAGCAGCACCGUAUCUCUUCGCGCAUGCACGAUCCGUCCUGCUGAACUUAAUAAACUCAGGCAAUUUCUUUCCUUUCUUUAAUGCAUGCAGGGUAGCGCAAGGGUAGCGCAGAGUAGCGC